rnacentral:misc_RNA from 1 species
GAUCAUUACUGAGUUAUUAAAACUCCAACCCUUCUGUAAACCUUACCGUCGUUUCCUCGGCGUAUUACUCUGGCAGCUAGGUGGGGGAGGACGUUACCCUAGAGGCAACUGACCCCGCUAGGCGUGAGCCCGGCGUAACGUCGAAAGGACCGUUCGAAACUCUUUUUCUUUUCCAGUUCUGGUUGGAAUGUAAUCGCUCGAAAAUGGUGUUGAGGGUGCGGCUCGAAUUUUAGAACCUACAGUUGGAAUUCUAGUUGGAUGAUCAUCGUUCGAAGUUAAACUAGCCUGACUGGAAUUCCAACUGUAAGGUGAUCUACUGCUCGAAAAGUUAGAACAUAUACCGCUCGAAAUUUAGUUGGAACGUACGCGUAGAAUCUAUAGAACCUGCAAGCUCGAAUACUCGUAGAACUACAGCUCGAAUACUGCUGGAACUAUAGUUCGAAUACUGUUGGAAUUAUAGCUCGUAGCCCCCUGUAUUUUUAGUUGUGUUUUUAGCCCCGCUCGAACAUUUGUUCGAACAUUGCUUGAAAUGCUGCUCGGAUACAAAGCGCUCGAGAUAUUUCUCCUGUCGUGAAGUUCGAACAGAAGAUCGAAUGCGGGGUUCGUUACCCUACAUAAAGUCGUGCAACCUGCAAACCUACCCUGUAACUGAAAAGUGUAUCAUAUAUGAUUUCUUAAACAAUAAGUUUAAAACUUUCAACAACGGAUCUCUUGGUUCUGGCAUCGAUGAAGAACGCAGCGAAAUGCGAUAAGUAAUGUGAAUUGCAGAAUUCAGUGAAUCAUCGAAUCUUUGAACGCACAUUGCGCCCAUUAGUAUUCUAGUGGGCAUGCCUAUUCGAGCGUCAUUUCGACCCUUAAGCCCUGUUGCUUAGCGUUGGGAACCUGCGUCUCAGGGCGCAGCUCCUUAAAGUUAGUGGCGGAGUUACAGCACACUCUUAAGCGUAGUAGUUUACACCUCGCUUCUGGAGUAGCCGUAGCUUCCAGCCGUAAAACCCCUAUAUUUCUAGUGGUUGACCUCGGAUUAGGUAGGAAUACCCGCUGAACUUAAGCAUAUCAAUAAGCGGAGGAAAAGAAACCAACAGGGAUUGCCCUAGUAACGGCGAGUGAAGCGGCAACAGCUCAAAUUUGAAAUCUGGCCCUCGCGGUCCGAGUUGUAAUUUGCAGAGGAUGCUUUUGGCGCGGUGCCUUCCGAGUUCCCUGGAACGGGACGCCAGAGAGGGUGAGAGCCCCGUACGGUUGGACACCUACCCUAUAUAUAGCUCCUUCGACGAGUCGAGUAGUUUGGGAAUGCUGCUCUAAAUGGGAGGUAAAUUUCUUCUAAAGCUAAAUACCGGCCAGAGACCGAUAGCGCACAAGUAGAGUGAUCGAAAGAUGAAAAGCACUUUGAAAAGAGGGUUAAAUAGCACGUGAAAUUGUUGAAAGGGAAGCGUUUGCGACCAGACCUUUUCCAGGCGGAUCAUCCGGUGUUCUCACCGGUGCACUUCGCCUGGUCUAGGCCAGCAUCGGUUUCCUUAGGGGGAUAAAGGCCUGGGGAACGUAGCUCUUUAGGGAGUGUUAUAGCCCCUGGCGCAAUACCCCUCGGG